rnacentral:rRNA from 1 species
AGUGAACGCUGGCGGUAGGCCUAACACAUGCAAGUCGAACGGCAGCACAGUAAGAGCUUGCUCUUACGGGUGGCGAGUGGCGGACGGGUGAGGAAUACAUCGGAAUCUACUUUUUCGUGGGGGAUAACGUAGGGAAACUUACGCUAAUACCGCAUACGACAUACGGGUGAAAGCAGGGGAUCUUCGGACCUUGCGCGAUUGAAUGAGCCGAUGUCGGAUUAGCUAGUUGGCGGGAUAAAGGCCCACCAAGGCGACGAUCCGUAGCUGGUCUGAGAGGAUGAUCAGCCACACUGGAACUGAGACACGGUCCAGACUCCUACGGGAGGCAGCAGUGGGGAAUAUUGGACAAUGGGCGCAAGCCUGAUCCAGCCAUACCGCGUGGGUGAAGAAGGCCUUCGGGUUGUAAAGCCCUUUUGUUGGGAAAGAAAAGCAGCAGGUUAAUACCCCGCUGUUCUGACGGUACCCAAAGAAUAAGCACCGGCUAACUUCGUG